rnacentral:rRNA from 1 species
GAUGAACGCUGGCGGCGUGCCUAAUACAUGCAAGUCGAGCGAACAGAUAAGGAGCUUGCUCCUUUGACGUUAGCGGCGGACGGGUGAGUAACACGUGGGUAACCUACCUAUAAGACUGGAAUAACUCCGGGAAACCGGGGCUAAUGCCGGAUAACAUUUAGAACCGCAUGGUUCUAAAGUGAAAGAUGGUUUUGCUAUCACUUAUAGAUGGACCCGCGCCGUAUUAGCUAGUUGGUAAGGUAACGGCUUACCAAGGCAACGAUACGUAGCCGACCUGAGAGGGUGAUCGGCCACACUGGAACUGAGACACGGUCCAGACUCCUACGGGAGGCAGCAGUAGGGAAGCUUCCGCAAUGGGCGAAAGCCUGACGGAGCAACGCCGCGUGAGUGAUGAAGGUCUUCGGAUCGUAAAACUCUGUUAUUAGGGAAGAACAAAUGUGUAAGUAACUGUGCACGUCUUGACGGUACCUAAUCAGAAAGCCACGGCUAACUACGU